rnacentral:rRNA from 1 species
UACAGAGGGUGCAAGCGUUGUUCGGAAUUAUUGGGCGUAAAGCGCGUGUAGGCGGCUUGGCAAGUCGGAUGUGAAAGCCCUCGGCUCAACCGAGGAAGUGCGUUCGGAACUGCUAAGCUUGAGUGUCAGAGGGGGUGGCGGAAUUCCCCAAGUAGAGGUGAAAUUCGUAGAUAUGGGGAGGAACACCAGUGGCGAAGGCGGCCACCUGGAUGAUAACUGACGCUGAGACGCGAAAGCGUGGGUAGCAAAC